rnacentral:lncRNA from 1 species
AUGGCCAUCUGGUUGAUGUGCAUACAAAAGGAGUGGUUUGCCAGACAAAGAAAGUACCUUUUAUCAUACAAAGCAAUGCAUCUCCUCUGCUCAGACUUCCAUUCUUCUGGCUCUGGUGGAGCUGCAGCCCGGCUGAAGCCACGGUGCAUCCACCGGAGAAAACCUGAUAUUUGCCAUCCUUGCAUCUUAAGGCUGUCUCUGCAAAUAUCUUCCACCCCUGCUCGCAGCAACUCCUUUUCACCCAGACAAUGGUAAUAGUUUAGGUAAUUAUGAAUUUUGUACGGGGAGCUGAACUCCCUGUGGAUGUUUAGACUCUUAUUAUCUUUAACCUAAUCCACCUCUACCAGUGAACUCCCACCUCAGCGGCUCGGUGGGCAUCAGCUGGGGGCUGAGAGGAGAGCAGGGGCAGAACUGAUGGGCAGUUUGUUAAUGUUAUGGGGUAUAACUGGCAAAGAAGGUGAGGAAGGGGGAGGUCCUUCACUCUCUGCUUCUGCCCAGCUGAUUGGCAUCAGUAGGAGCUGUUUGCGGCCACCUCUGAGAAGACAGUCCCCUCAAACCUGGGCUUAGAGGUCAAGCUCACCAGGCUGUGGUUUUGCUUUGAGAAGAGAUCCCGUGUACUGCUCAGGAGAUUUUGACAACCUUUUUUUUUUAAAAAAAAGAAAGAGUUUGCUAUUCAUUUUUCAUUGUUGUUAUUAUUGUGCACCUCCCAUAAAACUAAUUCCCACACUUCUCCUUGCCCAGAUGACAGGAGAUUCAAGGAGCUCUCACUAACAUAAACUGCUCACCCCAGGAUGCUAUUUACCUUCUGCUUCUCCCCUUCUUUCCCUCACACAUCCCUUCAACCUGUACCAUUAAGUGUAGUGGUAGAAGAAAACAAUGUCCCACAGGGCAGAGGUAAAACUUCCUUCUGGCUAAAAAUAUGGUUUGGGAAACUGGUGGACUCAGCACAGUCUGGGCCUUGUAAUAGGCAGGGAAAAGGGCUGUCACCAGGAGGGACUGACCCCCCGGUCUGAGCUGGCUGAACUGAAAAUUCAAGGAGAAAAAAUAGAUCUAGGUCUAAGUAAAACUAUUACAUGAAAAGCUAUUACAUGAAAAAGCAUGGAGAAUUUUUCAAACCCUGCUGAAGUUUUUUACUUGACAGAGUUAUAUUUUUAAUUUUGUUCUAAGGCUCUUCAGUCCUUUUAAAAUCAUUUCCCAAUCUUAUAGCUAUAUCACCCAUUAUAUGGAAAAUAAAAAUCAAAGCUGAAAUGUUGCA